CCAAAAGCCUCACUCGAGUCCCGAGCCGAAGAAAGUAUAGGAUUCCCAAUCCCAUGCCCUCAUUAGUGGACAUGAUUAACCACGAAUGAGGAGAACGAAGAGUUGGGUGGUUUACUGGGGUGGCAAAUGGAAAGUUUGGUAGUGACCUACAAAAACGAAAAUGUUGCAACAUAACGCUGAUGUCGCCUCUGAAUACAAAUCGGCCCCUCUGCGGCUCUUUCGCACCAAGAACUGCUUUCUAAGUCGAGCAUUCCGCUUGAAUCCUAACGCCUAACCAGUCCCUAAUUCGUUCAAUUCUCGUUUUUCUGAUCCGAUUACUGUUCAGAACGCAUUUUUUCCACGUGGGGCAACCAUUCAAAUUUUUUGGGGGUGUGAUAUUGAAGUCCCUAGCCAAGAAUUAUGCAUUGGCAUUUAUUUGAAGCUCCUAUCAGCUAUAUUCUCAUUGUUGAGAUUGACAUUAUCGAGUGUAGGAAUUGGGUUGUGCGUGGAGCCUGGUGAAGAUUCGGCCUCCCCAGCGCCAGAGGUUGGCGUCCCUGUCACUACCGACAGAAGCAUUUCAGAAAUCAUUCAGUGUUCAAAUCUUAGCCUUGCCUACCACUAAUUGUUUGUAGAUGAAUGUCUAUCCCAGAUGUGAGUGUUCUUCUGUAAGUGAGAAAACAGAGACCUUCGGCUCA